ensembl:lncRNA
GUGGGGGAGGAGACGCCAUCAGGUCACCUGGUUAAAGACUAUCUGCUGAUUGGAACAAAGAGGCAUUCAUUGGGCUCUUCGUCCAUCAUUAACGACACUACAACGUUCUCUUCUCCAUCCAGGUUGGACCCCAGCAGGAGGCCCCUCACCUUGUCGUUCCUCUCACAGAGGAACUUGAGUCUCUGGGCCCUCUUGUGCAUGAAGACGCCAUCCAGGUGGCCGGUCUCCACCGAGCGGAUCUCGAUGGCCUUCUCCCCCCAGCCCAUGAUCUGGUUGGAGCGGAUGUAGGCUGCAGAGAUGCAGUGAAGAGGAGAUAGCCGCGUUAGCAUGUGAUGUUUAAUGACUCAUCACAAACAUGAACUUUGAUGAAUAGAUCCUCCCACACAAAACUACGCAUGAAUUGUCCCCCGACUCACCCACUGAGGUGGGCAUCUCCCCCCACUGCAGCACCACGUCCUUGGUGAUGCGUCCGUACGUGUUGACGUAGACGCCCUCGUCCUCGUAGCACACCAGCAGCUCGAUGCCGUCGGUGUUGGGCAGGAUGAUGAUGGCGUGGGACUGGAUGUGGGUCUGGAUCUGCAGGGGGGGGGGAGACAAAGGCCUUUUGACGACAGAGAAGACAUAAUGCAGGUAAUCCUGCUCUGGGGCCUCCUCUGUCUCCAUGUCGGCAUCAGCUGUGGAACAUGGAGGGGCUGGACGUGUCCCUCCACCCUGAGCUGAUGACUAAACAACCCCCUCAAUACUCAAAGAGAGGCCUAGUGGGGGCGUCCUCACGUGUGUCGGCAGGUAGAUGUCGUAGACGGCCCCGGAGUCCACGUCCACGGCGUGGAAGCCCGAGGCCGAGCCGUAGAUGACCUUUAACCUCUGGCCCUCCUCCACGGUCAGGUCGACCAGCAGCGGCUUGUGCACCAGGUCGCCGAAAGACUGAGCAGGAGAAACAAUGUGAUGAGCUAACGAAGCUAACGAAGCUAACGAAGCUAACGAAGCUAACGAAGCCGAGCCAGUGGGUCGACUCACCUUGAAGGCCAUGAACUUGUGGUAGGGCUUCGGGGCCCAGGCGUAGACCUCCACAGAGUGCUUCAGAGCCAGAACCAAGAACUUGAUCCGCUCAUAUUUCACUGAGGAACAAAAAACAUAAAGGUUAGAGCAACACAAGCCGUUCCUCCGGUUGGUGAGUUUUCAGCUGGUCUUUGUGCUCUUUGCUUCUCGGAGAAUUUUAUUAGGUAUCAUGUUUGUGAUGUAAUGCUUGUAUACUCUUACUAAUUCUCAUAAAAAGUCUUUACUUUUGCCGUUUCAUCUUAAUUCUCCAAACAACAGCUUUUGCGCCGCAGCAUCUUCACUGCAUUAAUUCAGCCGCUGUAAACGUAAGACUCUUGUUCCUCGCGUUGGGACGAGUUACAGCAGAAGACUUUCAUCUCUUUGUUGAGUGUUUCUCAAAAUCGUCUGGAAAGCCCUGAACUGUACUUUCCACGAGUGCUCAAACAAAGACUCCGCUGGACCAAUCGGCUCGCUCGAGACCGGCCGACAGGAAGUCGGUGAUAGCAGAUGGAGCGUGGAGGGGUUUCCAACAGGAAGUGCCCGUCUUCAACCGCCAUGACGGGGACAUCCUGGAUUUUGGACAGGUCGUCUCUGACGUUACUUCACUGAGGGCUUCCCAGCACGUCGCGUCUCCACGGCAACGCAGCGGCUCUGGAGCUCCGGAGCUGCGCUGGUGGAGUUAUUGAGCUCUGAGAGAUGGCGUUGUGAAUAUAAUAUGAUCGGAUGAAGUAACGGCGCAUGUUGAGACCCCACGGAGGACCGAAUGUCCUGCAGAGACUGGGGCCCAUGGCGUGCGGGGUGCGCGGGGGCGUGGCCUACCGACGUUGUAGUGGACGCAGCCCUCCAGGUCUCCCACCGUGGUCCAGCCCUGCUUCUUCUCCACCUCGGGGUCGUUGUGCAGGAUCUUGUUCCUCAGCCAGGACAGGUAGUACACCCGGAGCUUGUUCUUCUUACCUGCAACACAGACGUCCAACAAUCAUGUCGGAUGCAUUCAACUCCUCCACCAGAAGACCAGAGUCUUCUCUCCUCAGACUGAGGAGCUGUCAUUCUGACCUUCAGGCUCCUUGAGGCUUAAAAUGUGUUUUUGAUUGGAUGCUGAGAAUAUAUUUUUGUAUCCUGGUUUCAUUCUGAGAGAAACUAUUUCGCAUAAAUUAACGGAUCGUAACACGCGACUUAAAGUCGAAGCAUGACGCUCGAUUAAAAGUCAUAGUAUUGUAUAAUUGCCUCACAUUAUUUCUGCUUCUCAAACAGAACUUUCCAUGACGCGUAUUCUACUUCUCCUCACAGAAGCCCGUCAGCAUGAAGACAACGUGUGUGUGUGUGUGUGUACAUGUCACACACGUGGCUUUACACACUGUGCGUCACUCACAGACAUCUGACUGCAUGUGUGUGUGUGUGUGUGUGUGUGUGUGUGUGUGACAUUGAGAAGGAGAAGUAGGAACGUGUAUGUGUGUAUCACAAU